CCAUGGGUUUAAGAACUGCAGAGAGUCUGAAAAGGGAUUUGUUCCCAGCAAAGAUUGUCUUGGUGUUUACUUUGUGAGUCCCCAGUGUGCAAGGACUUCUGUAAACUGUAAAACUUUCCCUUAGACUAUGAGCUAUGUCAACUACUGGACAAGGAACAAUUUACCUGUGGUUGUCCCACUCCACAAAUACAGUAUCUUUUAAUAUAUUCUGGGGUUAUAUAAAUGUGGGCUAGAUAUUUUUCUGGUAAAAACUUGGGCUUUGAUUUCCUUUUAGUGCUACAAAAAAAUAUUUGGCCAUUGAUUGUUGCAGAUGAAACACCUGCUGUGCAGUACAUGCUUUCAAGGAAUACACACAGGCAUCACCAUAAAGGUAAGAUUGACUUCUCUCCAUUUGCAGAAGAAAUGUGAGUUCCAUUUAGAGUAUAAGAUCAUAAUAAUAGCUGUGCUGGUUCAACCCAGGGAUCGUUAUUCACUCUCCUAUUUCCAAAUAUUUUUGCAGAAUGAAGUGUCAGGGUACAUGGAACACAGGGGCCUCUUGGAUACCAUUACUGCCAUCAGUGGCACAUCCCUGGUCUUCUGCCUGUUGCUGUUCACCAGCAUGUGAAUGUACUGUAAACAGCAGACAUCCUCUAAGUGACCGAGCACCCUGGUGGGCUGUUGAGGUCCACACCUUUCAUCAUCAUCCUCACAGUCUUUAGCAGCUUGGAGUGACUGGAUUCUAAUGAAAGGCUCCAGGCAAAGACACUGCAAAAUCGUCACCUGCUUCUUCCUUUCUGAUUCUGGCCUCAUACAGUGGCCUCAUGUUCGUGUUUGGCCUCUACAAUGUCAAAAAAGAUCCCUUACCGAGAGAGGAGAAGGCAAGACAAGGAACCGAUACCAAGUGAACUGUCCCCAGAGUACGUAACUGGUAUCCGUGCAAAUAUCUGACUGUGUGGCGAGCUGCCGUCAAAAGUGAUGGAUUCAGCACUGAUCCACUGCUUGGGGAGAGCAAACACACAGUUGAUCUCAACAUGCAUGUCAGUGUAGAACAGCAGAUGAGCUUGUCCCUGGAUGUGUAGGGCACCUUCAUAUAUGUAUUGUAAAGAACAUACUAAUGAAGAUCACAACCAUGUUUAUCUUUAAAAAGUUGGGUUUAAUGUAGGUUUGACUUAGAUAUUUUGAAUCCUUAUCUUUUGUGUAUUAUCAGCUUUUAUUAAAAAACUUUUCUAUCAUAUUGAUCAUUAAGUGACACAGUCAAUAACUGGGUCUUUGGUUGUCCCAGAUCUACUGAUCCAAAUCUACAAUUUGAUAAAUUAGCCUAUUUGCACAUCACUGCCAUUAACGCUGAGGGUCUGAGCCAGUGUAUCAUCUUUCCCAUUCAAGAUACUCUGACAGACUUCUACUUUGAAGUGAUUUUGUACCUUUCUUAGAUCUGGGGCCAUUUAAAUAGGCUUAGUUCCUAAUACCACAGAGGUGAUUGCAUUCUGUUGUUUGUCUCCAGAUCUUUUCAGUAGAUGGCUAUAAAAUAGUGGAUAUACUGGUCCCCCUCUUACCACAGUCUUCAGCUCAAGCUCAUGUUAUCUCUCUUCCAGGUAACAAUAACACAAAAGAGAACUUCUGAUAUGGUACCAGGGUGCUGGGGGGUUGGGCAGGGAUUUGUAAGCCUCAUGCAUAUUGCUGUUGUUACUUCCAUUACAGCUGCAAGCUGGUACUCAGGACUAAGCUCCGAACCACAGUGAUUUCAAUGGAAAUAUUAUCAGUGUUUUUAUCUGUCACAAACUGUGCAAUUUUCAAGACCUUCCUGGCUUGCCUUUACUUAUUUUUUUGUCCCUGCUGAGGCCAAUUACACUUAAAGCUGGAAAAAUUGAGCCAGUGUUGAAAAUCACACCCUAUGUGUUCUUCUGAGUACCGAUAGACUGAACCUCAAUUAAAAAUGAGUGAAGUAAAAGGUCACUUGUUAAUUCUAAUGUAAUUUAAACAGGUGUAAAUUAAUUUUGUUUCUUUCUCUGUCUUCACGUUCUGUCACAUGUUCUUUUGUAGGUCACUGAAAUCACAAAAGUGGGUAACAGCCUAUGGAUGUAAAAGGUAAAGGGAGAGGGACAAUCAUAAGAAAGGUAUAAAAAUAACCAAUUAUACUAAAUAUUGGAGCAGAAAACCAUACUGCUUGAGCUGCACAAGUGAUUUGUUUGCUGCAUUUUGUGGCAGACAUCCAUUGUGAAUAUUUGACACACGUGAUUGCUUUGGUGAAGAUAUUCAAAUCGUUUACAGACACUGAGGAUAUGACCACUGCAUUCCAUGUGAUAAUCAUAAAUCUCAUAUUCUGCA